rnacentral:rRNA from 1 species
UGGGGAAUUUUGGACAAUGGGCGAAAGCCUGAUCCAGCAAUGCCGCGUGUGUGAAGAAGGCCUUCGGGUUGUAAAGCACUUUUGUCCGGAAAGAAAUCCUUGGCUCUAAUACAGUCGGGGGAUGACGGUACCGGAAGAAUAAGCACCGGCUAACUACGUGCCAGCAGCCGCGGUAAUACGUAGGGUACAAGCGUUAAUCGGAAUUACUGGGCGUAAAGCGUGCGCAGGCGGUUUGCUAAGACCGAUGUGAAAUCCCCGGGCUCAACCUGGGAACUGCAUUGGUGACUGGCAGGCUAGAGUAUGGCAGAGGGGGGUAGAAUUCCACGUGUAGCAGUGAAAUGCGUAGAGAUGUGGAGGAAUACCGAUGGCGAAGGCAGCCCCCUGGGCCAAUACUGACGCUCAUGCACGAAAGCGUGGGGAGCAAACAGGAUUAGAUACCCUGGUAGUCCACGCCCUAAACGAUGUCAACUAGUUGUUGGGGAUUCAUUUCCUUAGUAACGUAGCUAACGCGUGAAGUUGACCGCCUGGGGAGUACGGUCGCAAGAUU